rnacentral:rRNA from 1 species
CCGUAACUAUAACGGUCCUAAGGUAGCGAAAUUCCUUGUCGGGUAAGUUCCGACCCGCACGAAUGGCGUAACGAUGGCCACACUGUCUCCUCCCGAGACUCAGCGAAGUUGAAGUGGUUGUGAAGAUGCAAUCUACCCGCUGCUAGACGGAAAGACCCCGUGAACCUUUACUGUAGCUUUGCAUUGGACUUUGAAGUCACUUGUGUAGGAUAGGUGGGAGGCUUUGAAGCAGAGACGCCAGUCUCUGUGGAGCCGUCCUUGAAAUACCACCCUGGUGUCUUUGAGGUUCUAACCCAGACCCGUAAUCCGGGUCGGGGACCGUGCAUGGUAGGCAGUUUGACUGGGGCGGUCUCCUCCCAAAGAGUAACGGAGGAGUUCGAAGGUUACCUAGGUCCGGUCGGAAAUCGGACUGAUAGUGCAAUGGCAAAAGGUAGCUUAACUGCGAGACCGACAAGUCGAGCAGGUGCGAAAGCAGGACAUAGUGAUCCGGUGGUUCUGUAUGGAAGGGCCAUCGCUCAACGGAUAAAAGGUACUCCGGGGAUAACAGGCUGAUUCCGCCCAAGAGUUCAUAUCGACGGCGGAGUUUGGCACCUCGAUGUCGGCUCAUCACAUCCUGGGGCUGUAGUCGGUCCCAAGGGUAUGGCUGUUCGCCAUUUAAAGUGGUACGUGAGCUGGGUUUAAAACGUCGUGAGACAGUUUGGUCCCUAUCUGCAGUGGGCGUUGGAAGUUUGACGGGGGCUGCUCCUAGUACGAGAGGACCGGAGUGGACGAACCUCUGGUGUACCGGUUGUAACGCCAGUUGCAUAGCCGGGUAGCUAAGUUCGGAAGAGAUAAGCGCUGAAAGCAUCUAAGCGCGAAACUCGCCUGAAGAUGAGACUUCCCUUGUGGUUUAACCACACUAAAGAGUCGUUCGAGACCAGGACGUUGAUAGGUGGGGUGUGGAAGCGCGGUAACGCGUGAAGCUAACCCAUACUAAUUGCUCGUGAGGCUUGACUCU